CAGCCAUCUGGUUCAGGGUUGGCAGCUGAUCCUUCUGUGGGAAUCUCGUCCAUGAAAGUAAAUAGCAAGUGUCUGGAAGUGUCCGUGUAACCUGAGAAGCAGAGCCCGGCUGCCUUCCAGAGCAGCUUCACCAGUCCUCACCAGCAAUGCACCCCAGCAUCUUCCUCAGUGUCUGCUGUUGUCAGGAAGCAGAUGCUUACGGACCUGCACAGCUGAAGGAUGGCUAAAAUGUAAAAGACCAGCAACAUUAUCUGGAAUGUGGAUCAACCAGAGCUCUCAGACACUGCUGGUGGACGUGCAAGUUGGUGCGACCACUUUGGAACGCUAUUCGACAGCAUCUACCACUGCAUGAAUGGAAACGCCCUCCAGAAAUUCAAGUUGUGGUUACAUACCCAGAAGAAAUGGGUAAUACGUCCAUCAAAAGACAUGUUCACAUUUCCUAUAUUCAUAAUAUCCUCAAAUUGGAAG